rnacentral:rRNA from 1 species
GGGUUGUGAGGUUAAGCGACUAAGCGUACACGGUGGAUGCCCUGGCAGUCAGAGGCGAUGAAGGACGUGCUAAUCUGCGAUAAGCGUCGGUAAGGUGAUAUGAACCGUUAUAACCGGCGAUUUCCGAAUGGGGAAACCCAGUGUGUUUCGACACACUAUCAUUAACUGAAUCCAUAGGUUAAUGAGGCGAACCGGGGGAACUGAAACAUCUAAGUACCCCGAGGAAAAGAAAUCAACCGAGAUUCCCCCAGUAGCGGCGAGCGAACGGGGAGGAGCCCAGAGCCUGAAUCAGUGUGUGUGUUAGUGGAAGCGUCUGGAAAGGCGCGCGAUACAGGGUGACAGCCCCGUACACAAAAAUGCACAUGCUGUGAGCUCGAUGAGUAGGGCGGGACACGUGGUAUCCUGUCUGAAUAUGGGGGGACCAUCCUCCAAGGCUAAAUACUCCUGACUGACCGAUAGUGAACCAGUACCGUGAGGGAAAGGCGAAAAGAACCCCGGCGAGGGGAGUGAAAAAGAACCUGAAACCGUGUACGUACAAGCAGUGGGAGCAUGCUUAGGCGUGUGACUGCGUACCUUUUGUAUAAUGGGUCAGCGACUUAUAUUCUGUAGCAAGGUUAACCGAAUAGGGGAGCCGAAGGGAAACCGAGUCUUAACUGGGCGUUAAG